GAUGAACGCUGGCGGCGUGCCUAAUACAUGCAAGUCGAGCGAAUGGAUUAAGAGCUUGCUCUUAUGAAGUUAGCGGCGGACGGGUGAGUAACACGUGGGUAACCUGCCCAUAAGACUGGGAUAACUCCGGGAAACCGGGGCUAAUACCGGAUAAUAUUUUGAACUGCAUGGUUCAAAAUUGAAAGGCGGCUUCGGCUGUCACUUAUGGAUGGACCCGCGUCGCAUUAGCUAGUUGGUGAGGUAACGGCUCACCAAGGCAACGAUGCGUAGCCGACCUGCGAGGGUGAUCGGGCACACUGGGACUGAGACACGCCCCAGACUCCUACGGGAGGCAGCAGUAGGGAAUCUUCCGCAAUGGACGAAAGUCUGACGGAGCAACGCCGCGUGAGUGAUGAAGGCUUUCGGGUCGUAAAACUCUGUUGUUAGGGAAGAACAAGUGCUAGUUGAAUAAGCUGGCACCUUGACGGUACCUAACCAGAAAGCCACGGCUAACUACGUGCCAGCAGCCGCCGUAA
rnacentral:rRNA from 1 species